UCCUAGAAGUUCAGCUGGUAAAGAAUCUGCCUGCAAAGCAGGAGACCUGGGUUCAAUUCCCAGGCUAGGAA
rnacentral:tRNA from 1 species